rnacentral:tRNA from 1 species
GGCUGAGUGGCGGAAUGGCAGACGCUGGGGAUUUAAAAUCCCCUCACCGCAAGGUGGUGCGGGUUCGAGUCCCGCCUCGGCUA